rnacentral:rRNA from 1 species
CCUACGGGGGGCAGCAGUCGAGAAUCAUUCACAAUGGGGGAAACCCUGAUGGUGCGACGCCGCGUGGGGGAAUGAAGGUCUUCGGAUUGUAAACCUCUGUCAUGUGGGAGCAAAUUAAAAAGAUAGUACCACACGAGGAAGAGACGGCUAACACUGUGCCCGCAGCCGCGGUAAUACAGAGGUCUCAAGAGUUGUUCGGAAUGAAUGGGCGUAACGGGUGCGUAGGCUGUUUCGUAAGUCGUGUGCUAAAGGCGCGGGCUCAACCCGCGGAGGGCACAUGAUACUGCGAGACUAGAGUAAGGGGGGGGGAUCCGGAAUUCGCGGUGUAGCGGUGAAAUGCGUAGAUAUCGAGAAGAACC